ACUUCUUAGAGUUAGGCGGGGAACUAAACAUGCUGAAAACACACUACUUAUUUAUUUAGGCCCAAUUAAAAUGUCUAAUAAAUUCAUUUUAAUUAAAUACUUAUUGUUAAUUAAAGAUCACCUUUUAUUUUUAAAAUUUGUUACAAUUCAAACCUUGGCCUUGGGGUUUAGAUGCUGAUGGAAUAAAUAAGAAACAAAAUCAUAUGUAAAAAAUAACUAAAAAUCCUUUUCAAAACCUCAAUUACUAUUGAAUUAUGAUUGGGCGUGGUAUACAAAAUAAUGCGAAUUGGAGGAAAUGGAGAAACAUAGUAAUAACAAUUAGAUCAGCUUUUAUGAUAGCGAGCAUAUUAAAAAUUUAAAAUUGGUUAUAAAAUUGAAAGGUUUUCGGGUUUUCACCACAAGAGCAAAUUAUACAACUUUAUUCUUGAAAAUGUUAGAGACUGAGACUUGGAGUCAAAGUCAACAGACACGCUUGCAUGGACAUGAAGGAUGUAAAGAACUAGAGUAUUAUAACUGAAAGCAUUUUGUCUGGAUUUGUGUAUGGAAACAGAAGGAUUUAGUAUUGGUAUCCUGAAUUUUUGUCAACUUCUAGCCAAGAUCCUGUACUUAAGCUGAAUGUGGAGGACAGAUGUACACACAGUACUAGUAUAGAGGGUAAGUAGACCAUAAAAAAAAACAAGAUGUGUUUGUGAAACACUAUGCGCCCGGCGGCAACAAAGUUUGGAAAAAGCUAUUUUUAGCAUUAAGGUCACAGUCAAGGUCACAAAGUCAUUGACCUUGGUGUCAUUUGAAAGAGGUUGAUUAGUGGAGUAUGGAGUGGACUCCAUGCCACUAAACU